CAAUAAGCGGAGGAAAAGAAACCAACAGGGAUUGCCUCAGUAACGGCGAGUGAAGCGGCAACAGCUCAAAUUUGAAAUCUGGCUCUUUCAGGGUCCGAGUUGUAAUUUGUAGAAGAUGCUUUGGGUGUGGCUCCGGUCUAAGUUCCUUGGAACAGGAUGUCAUAGAGGGUGAGAACCCCGUAUGUGACUGGCUGCCUCCCCCGUGUAAAGCUCUUUCGACGAGUCGAGUUGUUUGGGAAUGCAGCUCAAAAUGGGUGGUAAAUUUCAUCUAAAGCUAAAUAUUGGCCAGAGACCGAUAGCGCACAAGUAGAGUGAUCGAAAGAUGAAAAGCACUUUGGAAAGAGAGUUAAACAGUACGUGAAAUUGUUGAAAGGGAAGCGCUUGCAAUCAGACUUGCGCGCGGCCGAUCAUCCGAGGUUUUCCCCGGUGCACUCGACCGCGCUCAGGCCAGCAUCGGUUUCGGUGGUGGGAUAAAGGCCUUGGGAAUGUGGCUCCUUUCGGGGAGUGUUAUAGCCCUCGGUGCAAUGCCGCCUAUCGGGACCGAGG
rnacentral:rRNA from 1 species